rnacentral:rRNA from 1 species
AGAGUUUGAUCCUGGCUCAGGAUGAACGCUAGCUACAGGCUUAACACAUGCAAGUCGAGGGGUAACGACAGCGAAAGCUUGCUUUUGCUGGGCGACGACCGGCGAAUGGGUGAGUAACGCGUAUCCAACCUGCCGCAAAGUAGGGCACAGCCUUGCGAAAGUAAGAUUAAUGCCCUAUGUGCUGUGAUGAUGACAUCAGAAUUGCAGUAAAGGUUCACCGCUUUGCGAUGGGGAUGCGUCUGAUUAGGUUGUUGGCGGGGUAACGGCCCACCAAGCCCGCGAUCAGUAGGGGUUCUGAGAGGAAGGUCCCCCACAUUGGAACUGAGACACGGUCCAAACUCCUACGGGAGGCAGCAGUGAGGAAUAUUGGUCAAUGGGCGAGAGCCUGAACCAGCCAAGUAGCGUGCGGGACGAAGGCCCUAUGGGUUGUAAACCGCUUUUACGGGGGGAUAAAGUGAGUGACGUGUCAUUCAUUGCAGGUACCCCGCGAAUAAGGACCGGCUAAUUCCGUGCCAGCAGCCGCGGUAAUACGGAAGGUCCGGGCGUUAUCCGGAUUUAUUGGGUUUAAAGGGAGCACAGGCCGGCUGUCAAGCGUGUUGUGAAAUGUAGGCGCUCAACGCCUGACUUGCAGCGCGAACUGACGGUCUUGAGUGCGCGCAACGUUGGCGGAAUUUGUCGUGUAGCGGUGAAAUGCUUAGAUAUGACGAAGAACUCCGAUUGCGAAGGCAGCUGACGGGAGCGUUACUGACGCUUAAGCUCGAAAGCGCGGGUAUCGAACAGGAUUAGAUACCCUGGUAGUCCGCGCGGUAAACGAUGGAUGCCCGCUGUUUGCGUCUAACGUAAGCGGCCAAGUGAAAACGUUAAGCAUCCCACCUGGGGAGUACGCCGGCAACGGUGAAACUCAAAGGAAUUGACGGGGGCCCGCACAAGCGGAGGAACAUGUGGUUUAAUUCGAUGAUACGCGAGGAACCUUACCCGGGCUUGAAUUGCUGAGGAAUGAUCCAGAGAUGGUGAUGCCUUCGGGGCCUCAGUGAAGGUGCUGCAUGGUUGUCGUCAGCUCGUGCCGUGAGGUGUCGGCUUAAGUGCCAUAACGAGCGCAACCCCUCUCUUCAGUUGCCAUCAGGCUAUGCUGGGCACUCUGGAGACACUGCCACCGCAAGGUGUGAGGAAGGUGGGGAUGACGUCAAAUCAGCACGGCCCUUACGUCCGGGGCUACACACGUGUUACAAUGGGGGGCACAGAGAGUCGGGUGCGCGCAAGCUUGCCCAAAUCCUUAAAUCCCCCCACAGUUCGGACUGGGGUCUGCAACCCGACCCCACGAAGCUGGAUUCGCUAGUAAUCGCGCAUCAGCCAUGGCGCGGUGAAUACGUUCCCGGGCCUUGUACACACCGCCCGUCAAGCCAUGAAAGCCGGGGGUGCCUGAAGUCCGUGACCGCAAGGGACGGCCUAGGGCAAAACU